AGACUUUUAGAAUAAAUGUUCUUUUUUGUAUUUUCAAAAUACAUACUUAAUGCAUAGUUAAAAAGUC
rnacentral:tRNA from 1 species